rnacentral:miRNA from 1 species
AGAGAGCACGCGAAUCGAGGAG